rnacentral:rRNA from 1 species
GACGAACGCUGGCGGCGUGCUUAACACAUGCAAGUCGAACGGAAAGGCCCUGCUUUUGUGGGGUGCUCGAGUGGCGAACGGGUGAGUAACACGUGAGUAACCUGCCCUUGACUUUGGGAUAACUUCAGGAAACUGGGGCUAAUACCGGAUAGGAGCUCCUGCUGCAUGGUGGGGGUUGGAAAGUUUCGGCGGUUGGGGAUGGACUCGCGGCUUAUCAGCUUGUUGGUGGGGUAGUGGCUUACCAAGGCUUUGACGGGUAGCCGGCCUGAGAGGGUGACCGGCAAAAUUGGGACUGAGAUACGGCCCAGACUCCUACGGGAGGAAGCAGUGGGGAAUAUUGCACAAUGGGCGGAAGCCUGAUGCAGCAACGCCGCGUGCGGGAUGACGGCCUUCGGGUUGUAAACCGCUUUCGCCUGUGACGAAGCGUGAGUGACGGUAAUGGGUAAAGAAGCACCGGCUAACUACGU